rnacentral:rRNA from 1 species
UGGGGAAUAUUGGGCAAUGGGCGAAAGCCUGACCCAGCAACGCCGCGUGAAGGAAGAAGGUCUUCGGAUUGUAAACUUCUUUUAUGAGGGACGAAGGACGUGACGGUACCUCAUGAAUAAGCCACGGCUAACUACGUGCCAGCAGCCGCGGUAAUACGUAGGUGGCAAGCGUUAUCCGGAUUUACUGGGUGUAAAGGGCGCGUAGGCGGGGAUGCAAGUCAGAUGUGAAAUCUAUGGGCUUAACCCAUAAACUGCAUUUGAAACUGUAUCUCUUGAGUGCUGGAGAGGUAGAUGGAAUUCCUUGUGUAGCGGUGAAAUGCGUAGAUAUAAGGAAGAACACCAGUGGCGAAGGCGAUCUACUGGACAGUAACUGACGCUGAGGCGCGAAAGCGUGGGGAGCAAACA